rnacentral:rRNA from 1 species
AUUGAACGCUGGCGGCAUGCCUAACACAUGCAAGUCGAGCGGAUGAAGGGAGCUUGCUCCUGUAUUCAGCGGCGGACGGGUGAGUAAUGCCUAGGAAUCUGCCUUGUAGUGGGGGAUAACGUCCGUAAACGGGCGCUAAUACCGCAUACGUCCUUAUGUAGAAAGUGGGGGAUCUUCGGACCUCACGCUUUCUGAUGAGCCUAGGUCGGAUUAGCUAGUUGGUGGGGUAAAGGCCUACCAAGGCGACGAUCCGUAACUGGUCUGAGAGGAUGAUCAGUCACACUGGAACUGAGACACGGUCCAGACUCCUACGGGAGGCAGCAGUGGGGAAUAUUGCGCAAUGGGCGAAAGCCUGAUCCAGCCAUGCCGCGUGAGUGAAGAAGGUCUUCGGAUUGUAAAGCACUUUAAGUUGGGAGGAAGGAAAGUGAGUUUAUACCUGGCUGUUUUGACGUUACCAACAGAAUAAGCACCGGCUAACUUCGUG